rnacentral:rRNA from 1 species
AGUGAACGCUGGCGGUAGGCCUAACACAUGCAAGUCGAACGGCAGCACAGUAAGAGCUUGCUCUUACGGGUGGCGAGUGGCGGACGAGUGAGGAAUACAUCGGAAUCUACUUUUUCGUGGGGGAUAACGUAGGGAAACUUACGCUAAUACCGCAUACGACCUACGGGUGAAAGCAGGGGAUCUUCGGACCUUGCGCGAUUGAAUGAGCAGAUGUCGGAUUAGCUAGUUGGCGGGGUAAAGGCCCACCAAGGCGACGAUCCGUAGCUGGUCUGAGAGGAUGAUCAGCCACACUGGAACUGAGACACGGUCCAGACUCCUACGGGAGGCAGCAGUGGGGAAUAUUGGACAAUGGGCGCAAGCCUGAUCCAGCCAUACCGCGUGGGUGAAGAAGGCCUUCGGGUUGUAAAGCCCUUUUGUUGGGAAAGAAAAGCAGCAGGUUAAUACCCCGCUGUUCUGACGGUACCCAAAGAAUAAGCACCGGCUAACUUCGUG